AGUGAACGCUGGCGGUAGGCCUAACACGUGCGAGUCGAACGGCAGCACAGUAAGAGCUUGCUCUUACGGGUGGCGGGUGGCGGACGGGUGAGGAAUACAUCGGAAUCUACUUUUUCGUGGGGGAUAACGUAGGGAAACUUACGCUAAUACCGCAUACGACCUACGGGUGAAAGCAGGGGAUCUUCGGACCUUGCGCGAUUGAAUGAGCCGAUGUCGGAUUAGCUAGUUGGCGGGGUAAAGGCCCACCAAGGCGACGAUCCGUAGCUGGUCUGAGAGGAUGAUCAGCCACACUGGAACUGAGACACGGUCCAGACUCCUACGGGAGGCAGCAGUGGGGAAUAUUGGACAAUGGGCGCAAGCCUGAUCCAGCCAUACCGCGUGGGUGAAGAAGGCCUUCGGGUUGUAAAGCCCUUUUGUUGGGAAAGAAAAGCAGCAGGUUAAUACCCCGCUGUUCUGACGGUACCCAAAGAAUAAGCACCGGCUAACUUCGUG
rnacentral:rRNA from 1 species